UCACCCUUCAAGCCCUGCGCUUGGUGUUGGACGGCUUGGUCUCAUAUCUCGUUCGACCCCUCCUAAAGACAAUGACGGCGGCCUGUGGUUCCCCCGGUACACUGAGCUUUUUAACUGAGCACGUAUCGGACAAGGGCGCCCGGGUCACGGUCCUCUCCCCGUAACGGGAAACACUUUUAACUAA
rnacentral:misc_RNA from 1 species